rnacentral:rRNA from 1 species
UACGUAGGUGACCAGCGUUGUCCGGAUUUACUGGGCGUAAAGAGCGCGCAGGCGGUCGUUCAAGUCGAGUGUGAAAGCCCCGGCUCAACUGGGAGGGUCACUCGAUACUGAUCGACUUGAAGGCAGGAGAGGGAAGCGGAAUUCCCGGUGUAGUGGUGAAAUGCGUAGAUAUCGGAGGAACACCAGUGCGAAGGCGGCUUCCUGGCCUGUUCUUGACGCUGAGGCGCGAAAGCUAGGGUAGCAACGGG